rnacentral:lncRNA from 1 species
CUGCUUCAGUGUUAGAUCCCUAAUUCCUCGCACAGUGCCGUGCACAUAUGCCUGCCUUGGCUCUGCUUUCUCCAAACCUGUCCCCAUCGGUCAGCUGGGGUGGACGAGUGUUUUCCAUCUUGCAAAGUCAUUGUGUGGGGAAGAUGAGAUAUUCCACGUGAAGCCCCCAGCACGGCCCCCAGCGCAGCCUCCUUCCAGGAAUGUUGGCUCUGAGGUCGUCUUCCGCGUGAGUUUUCAUCUGUCACUUGUAACAGGAGUGCUGGUGGGAACCAUGGUGCAGGUGAGCAGGCUGACAGCAGCAGUUCUUGUUGGGGAGACUUUUUUCUCUAUUGUUGGGGAGACUUUUUUCUCUACUGUCAUAGCUUGAAAUAUCUGGGGUCUGCAAGUGAACGGACAGCAGA